AUUGAACGCUGGCGGCAGGCUUAACACAUGCAAGUCGAACGAGUGGCGGACGGGUGAGUAAUGCUUGGGAAUCUAGCUUAUGGAGGGGGAUAACUACGGGAAACGGUAGCUAAUACCGCGUACCAUAGGAUGAGCCCAAGUGGGAUUAGAUAGUUGGUGGGGUAAAGGCUCACCAAGCCGACGAUCCCUAGCUGGUCUGAGAGGAUGACCAGCCACACUGGGACGGAGACACGGUCCAGACUCCUACGGGAGGCAGCAGUGGGGAAUAUUGCGCAAUGGGGGCAACCUGAUGCAGCCAUGCCGCGUGAAUGAAGAAGGCCUUCGGGUUGUAAAGUUCUUUCGGUGGCGAGGCGUUAACCACAGAAGAAGCACCGGCUAAAUCCGUGCCAGCAGCCGCGGCAAUUC
rnacentral:rRNA from 1 species